rnacentral:lncRNA from 1 species
CUUCAUUCCGAUGAAAGCCUUCAUGCUGCAACCUGCAGCAGGAAGAUGGGCUUCAGUUUUCAAGUCUGCAGCUGAGCUGGGGAGUUGGGGACAGUAACCAGUAAUACACAAUAUUGGCAACAAUGCAACAAAAUGGACACACUCUACUCUAGCGGAGUGAACAAUUAACAAUAGAAUCCUUAAGAUGCAAAACUCCUUGCUGUUUACCAGCAACAGAAGAGAGGAAGAAGUGGCUCUGGGGACAUUGCGUGCCAGUCAGUGGCAGGUUGGCUGGAGAAGCAGCCCUGGUUGGAGCUUUGGAGAGACACAUGUGCAUUUACUUGUUACCUGGAAGACCUAUUUAAAAAAAUUCUCGUAAAUCUGUCAUUUGUGUAUCCUCAAGGUUUGUGCCAGAAAGCAGAUAUAUCUGCUCCUGUGUGUAAUUGUUGUUAAAAAACACAAAAAGGAAAUAAAAGUGCACAACAUACCUA